GGGGAAUCUUCCGCAAUGGGCGAAAGCCUGACGGAGCAAUACCGCGUGAGGGAGGAAGGCUCUUGGGUUGUAAACCUCUUUUCUCAGGGAAGAAUGAUGACGGUACCUGAGGAAUAAGCAUCGGCUAACUCCGUGCCAGCAGCCGCGGUAAUACGGAGGAUGCAAGCGUUAUCCGGAAUGAUUGGGCGUAAAGCGUCCGCAGGUGGCAAUGUAAGUCUGCUGUCAAAGCGUCUGGCUCAACCAGAUAAAGGCAGUGGAAACUACAUAGCUAGAGUAAGGUAGGGGUAGAGGGAAUUCCUGGUGUAGCGGUGAAAUGCGUAGAGAUCAGGAAGAACACCGGUGGCGAAAGCGCUCUGCUGGACCUUAACUGACACUGAGGGACGAAAGCUAGGGGAGCGAAUGGGAUUAGAUACCCCAGUAGUC
rnacentral:rRNA from 1 species